rnacentral:rRNA from 1 species
CACGCCGUAAACGAUGGAUACUAGCUGUUGGAGGUAUCGACCCCUUCAGUAGCGAAGCUAACGCGUUAAGUAUCCCGCCUGUGGAGUACGAUCGCAAGAUUAAAACAUAAAGGAAUUGACGGGGACCCGCACAAGCGGUGGAGCGUGUUCUUUAAUUCGACGAUAAACGAAGAACCUUACCAGGGCUUGACAUCCUUGGGAUUUCUACGAAAGUAGAAAGUGCCUUUGGGAACCAAGUGACAGGUGA